rnacentral:lncRNA from 1 species
ACCCGAAAGACGCCAGAUUUUUGCUGUGCUCGGCAUACAUGUUUUGAGUGAAUAUAGGAUGUGUCAAAGGUUAUCUCAAAUAUGCACGUGUCCUUUGGCCCAGCAAACUGACUUGAGGACUAUAUCCUGCAGGCGAAGCUGAACCUCCGCCAAAUACAAUACAGACACGUUGCUUUUCCGUGGCUUUUCGGGAGCCGGGGGAAAGAACUGAAACAGCCCGCCGGCCCGUGGGUGGAGGAACGCUGAAAUCAAUGCCGGUGUCUGCGCGCCGUGAAGGGCUCUGCCGCACGCCAAAGCGAGCGGAGAAGUGCUUAGUCCUGACAGGGAGCCAUGCCCACCACGGGCUGUCAGACGCAGCACAGGUGUCAGAGAGUCUAUAGUGUCAUGUUGUAUGAUGUGCAGACAAACGUACUCGUAACCGCACGUGAGGGUGUAAUUGUGCACAGUUACGUGUGCAUAAUGCCUUAAGAGCUGUGGAUGUGAAGCUCAGCGCUGGGUAACACGGCAGAAGCUGGUGUUCUGGAAGCUGCCACCACCCAGGGAAGGGAGAGGGGGAAGAAGAAGCAGUGAGGGCGGGAGACAGAUUUCUUUUUGUUCUGUCUGAUGAGUGCUUUUGUGCUCUCUUCAAAAUGAAUCAUUCAAGGAGCGAGCCUAACGGGAGACAGCGAUUUGCAUGACGUUAGCUGAAAGCUCCAUCUUGCCGAGGUGGGCGAGAGGCUAAGGUUUCUGUGAUGUGUGUGCUGAGACUUUCCAAACUGCUGCCGCAGAGGGCAGAGAGAAAGAAAAAGAUGAACGCACAGGAUAAAAAUUAAAGUUUUAAGUCAUGAGGAAAAGGUAAACGGCAUUUAGAAGGCGAUCAAGCAACAGCUGGAAGAUGAAAAUUUUAGAGGAGGAUGUUAAGAUGCAAAACUAUGGGGUGGCUAAUGUAAAUUGCACAGAAGAUACAGAAGGUGGUCUAAGAGAUCACAAAACAUUGCUGAGAGGUUAAAUAAGACCCAAAUAAAUGAAGAGACACAUGAGGCUCAGAUGUUUGAACUCUUUUUUUUAAAAUUUCAGAAUAUAUAUAUUUUACUGAAGCACAGUUGACUUACAACGUUCCAGGUGCACAGCACAGUGAUUCAGCCAUACAUACACACAUAUAUCAUUUUUCAGACCAUUUUCCAUUGUAGGUUAUUACAAGAUAUUGACUCUAGUUCCCUGUGCUACACAGUAAAUCNNNNNNNNNNNNNNNNNNNCUGUUUUUUUUUUUAAAUUUGAAAUCUGUUAUUCAUAGUCAAACAAGUAGCAUCAAAAUGUCAUGAAUUUUUUUAGUUAGGCAAAAAUUUAUAAGGCUUCUAAGAUAUAGAUAUUAGACAUGUUGGUUAUGUAAUAUGUAUACAAAGGCUUGAGAAAGAACAGCAGAAAGAAAGAAAGAUGAAGAAAUUGGAAAACAAACU